rnacentral:lncRNA from 1 species
AGUUGGACUUGGCACGGAAAAGGAGUGCAUCUUGUGAUGCUUUCACUUGCUCUGGGAGUCCUCCCCAUGUCUUCAAGGCAGUGUUUUGGAGGGCUCUGGCAUAUGAAAAUGACACAUGCCAGGGGUUUGGAGACUGGUUCAUGGCAUUCAAAUUUAAGGUAGCUUCAACCUCAGACUGUCCACCAGACAAAAACUGCAUAACACAACUUUGGUUACCACAUGAAAGGGAAGUUAGGAAUGCAAAGAAUGAUGCAUUUUGGCAGUGUUACUUACCAUAAUUCCAGGAACAGCAGGGGGGAUUCUCCUGUGAAGGAGCUUUAGGGUGUAAUCAGCAACUGUUUCAG